rnacentral:lncRNA from 1 species
UGGCUGAUCAGGUACAGCACAUGGCAGAGGAAUGUUCAAGACUGGAGGUCUGCGGGGAACAGACCAUCUCCCGGCAGGUUCAACAGGGGAUGCUGCAUCAGGCCCAGAGGACAGGGUCUGAAGAUGCUGGAAGAAGGGGAUGAAGAGGCUACAUCCGGAGGCAGAGAGGAUGGUGGUAUGAUGGGGAUGGGGUGUGGCCACUUCAAAUCCUCUGCCCCAACAUUAGCAAGAGGGAGAAGCUCAGGACAUCAGUCCAGGUUCUGGGAGAGCACCAGGGACACCUGCAGUCCAAAUGAGGAAAGCGUCGCCCCCACUGGCCAGCUGUCACCACAGAGCCAAAUGGGGAAAUCAAUCAGGAUUAUGAUUAUGGGAUACAGGUUGGGGAUGCUCUAAAAAGAGCCCCCAGCGUUCACGACAGUUUUCCAGUCAAUCUGAACACAGGUAGAGCAGCCAGUGAAAGGUUGCAGCUCUUCCCAAAAGGAUGUGGGGUCAGAUUCGGAGCCUGGUGCCACUGACAAGUCCUGCCUUGCCUUUGGGGACAGAUCCAAGGCCCUAGGACAAGAGCCAGAGGCUGAAGAAACUUGGAAGAAACAGCUGCCCGGCCUCAGGAAGAGGGCCCUUCUUUCUUGGUGGGUUGUCUGGGAAGAAAGCUAAUGUUUUUGAUUGUAGGCAAGCAGGGUACCAAAACUACAUCCCUUGUCCCUUCCCUAGCACAAACAGAGAAACCUUGGAAAAGGAAGCCAGACACACAGCCAGUCUCCAAAGUGGGGCACACCAUCUCCAAAUGGAUUACAUGACCCAUUGAGCAGCCUUCACCGUGGAUUAUUUAGGCACUGUUAAGAGUCAGGGCUCUAUAAAUUGGAUGUAAAAUGCAUGCGGGUUUCCUGUAGUUUAUCAAGCUGGUAACUCCCUAAAACCAGAACACAGAGCAAGAAUAUGCCAAAGAGCUGAAGAAGGAGGAGAUGAAAACUUUCUAAAGUUAACGCUGGAUUCAGAACCCAAGAUUUAGCACCCUGCUCACCCAGCCCACGGGUAUUUAGGGGAGGGCCCACUUGACCUUGGCCUCAAAGGCAGGAGAUGUCGCCCCUGGUUAUUUUUUAUGGAUUCAUCAUGCACAAUUUACUUGUUUCCGCAGAGAUUUAUAUUUUUAAUCUGGACUGACUCUUGCGCUCUCUAAAUUUACUACCUUGGAAACAACAGUACUUCCUUUUGUUUAUUCUACACUGUACUUCUUUCAAGCCGUGAAGAGUGUUCCUGAACUGGGUGUUCUGGAAAAGCUCCCUCCGGCUAUUCCCACUCAUCAGUUUAGUAGGCUUUGGUCAUAUUUGCUUUGAGUUUCAUCCAUCCAGCCCACCUGUAUUUAUUGAGCACUUACUAUGUGCCCUGAAUUGGGCAUCUCUGCCUCCACUACACUCAUUUUUUUGGUUCUUUUGAUUGUUCUUCACUCUUUUCUUUCUUCACUUACCCAUCUAAAUAAUUUCACUGGGCGAGGUGCAGUAGCUCAUGCCUGUAAUCCCAGCACCUUGGGAGGCCAGGGAGAGAGAAUCACUUGAAGCCAGGAAAUUGAGACCAGGCUGAGUA